rnacentral:rRNA from 1 species
GGGGGAAAAGAACUUCGCAUGGACGAAGUCUGACGGAGCAACGCCGCGUGAGUGAUGAAGGUUUUCGGAUCGUAAAGCUCUGUUGUUAGGGAAGAACAAGUACCGUUCGAAUAGGGCGGUACCUUGACGGUACCUAACCAGAAAGCCACGGCUAACUACGUGCCAGCAGCCGCGGUAAUACGUAGGUGGCAAGCGUUGUCCGGAAUUAUUGGGCGUAAAGGGCUCGCAGGCGGUUUCUUAAGUCUGAUGUGAAAGCCCCCGGCUCAACCGGGGAGGGUCAUUGGAAACUGGGGAACUUGAGUGCAGAAGAGGAGAGUGGAAUUCCACGUGUAGCGGUGAAAUGCGUAGAGAUGUGGAGGAACACCAGUGGCGAAGGCGACUCUCUGGUCUGUAACUGACGCUGAGGAGCGAAAGCGUGGGGAGCGAACAGGAUUAGAUACCCUGGUAGUCCACGCCGUAAACGAUGAGUGCUAAGUGUUAGGGGGUUUCCGCCCCUUAGUGCUGCAGCUAACGCAUUAAGCACUCCGCCUGGGGAGUACGGUCGCAAGACUGAAACUCAAAGGAAUUGACGGGGGCCCGCACAAGCGGUGGAGCAUGUGGUUUAAUUCGAAGCAACGCGAAGAACCUUACCAGGUCUUGACAUCCUCUGACAAUCCUAGAGAUAGGACGUCCCCUUCGGGGGCAGAGUGACAGGUGGUGCAUGGUUGUCGUCAGCUCGUGUCGUGAGAUGUUGGGUUAAGUCCCGCAACGAGCGCAACCCUUGAUCUUAGUUGCCAGCAUUCAGUUGGGCACUCUAAGGUGACUGCCGGUGACAAACCGGAGGAAGGUGGGGAUGACGUCAAAUCAUCAUGCCCCUUAUGACCUGGGCUACACACGUGCUACAAUGGACAGAACAAAGGGCAGCGAAACCGCGAGGUUAACCCAAUCCCACAAAUCUGUUCUCAGUUCGGAUCGCAGUCUGCAACUCGACUGCGUGAAGCUGGAAUCGCUAGUAAUCGCGGAUCAGCAUGACGCGGUGAAUACGUUCCCGGGUCCUUGAACCACCGCCCCGUAGAAAUUUUGGGCCCCCUUGGUCCGAAUUUAAACC